GAUGAAGAACGCAGCGAAAUGCGAUAAGUAAUGUGAAUUGCAGAAUUCAGUGAAUCAUCGAAUCUUUGAACGCACAUUGCGCCCCUUGGUAUUCCGAGGGGCAUGCCUGUUCGAGCGUCAUUAUAACCCUCAAGCUCAGCUUGGUGUUGGGGCCUGCUGCACUGGCAGCCCUUAAAAUCAGUGGCGGCGCCAUCUGGCUCUAAGCGUAGUAAUUCUUCUCGCUAUGGAGUCCUGGUGGAUGCUUGCCAUCAACCCCCAAUUUUUCUAUGGUUGACCUCGGAUCAGGUAGGGAUACCCGCUGAACUUAAGCAUACCAAUAAGCGGAGGA
rnacentral:misc_RNA from 1 species